rnacentral:rRNA from 1 species
AACGUAGGGGGCGAGCGUUGUCCGGAUUUAUUGGGCGUAAAGAGCUCGUAGGCGGCUCGGUAAGUCGGGUGUGAAAACUCUAGGCUCAACCUAGAGACGCCACCUGAUACUGCUGUGGCUAGAGUCCGGUAGGGGAGCAUGGAAUUCCUGGUGUAGCGGUGAAAUGCGCAGAUAUCAGGAGGAACACCAGUGGCGAAGGCGGUGCUCUGGGCCGGUACUGACGCUGAGGAGCGAAAGCGUGGGGAGCAAACAGG